rnacentral:rRNA from 1 species
AUUGAACGCUGGCGGCAUGCUUUACACAUGCAAGUCGAACGGUAACAGGCCGCAAGGUGCUGACGAGUGGCGAACGGGUGAGUAAUGCAUCGGAACGCGCCCAGUCGUGGGGGAUAACGCAGCGAAAGCUGCGCUAAUACCGCAUACGAUCUAUGGAUGAAAGCGGGGGACCGUAAGGCCUCGCGCGAUUGGAGCGGCCGAUGUCAGAUUAGGUAGUUGGUGGGGUAAAGGCUCACCAAGCCAACGAUCUGUAGCUGGUCUGAGAGGACGACCGGCCACACUGGGACUGAGACACGGCCCAGAGUCCUACGGGAGGCAGCAGUGGGGAAUUUUGGACAAUGGGCGCAAGCCUGAUCCAGCAAUGCCGCGUGCAGGAAGAAGGCCUUCGGGUUGUAAACUGCUUUUGUACGGAACGAAACGGUCCUGGUUAAUACCCGGGGCUAAUGACGGUACCGUAAGAAUAAGCACCGGCUAACUACGUGCCAGCCGCCGCCGUAAAAC